AAUCUUCCACAAUGGGCGAAAGCCUGAUGGAGCAACGCCGCGUGAGGGAAGAAGGUUUUCGGAUCGUAAAACUCUGUUGUAAGGGAAGAACAAGUACAGUAGUAACUGGCUGUACCUUGACUGUACCUCAUUAGAAAGCCACGGCUAACUACGUGCCAGCAACCGCGGUAAUACGUAGCUGGCAAGCGAUGUCCGGACUUAUUGGGCGUAAAGCGCGCGCAGGAGGUCCUUUAAGUCUGAUGUGAAAGCCGAGGCUCAACCGUGGAGGGUCAUUGGAAGCUGGGGGACUUGAGUGCAGAAGAGGAAAGUGGAAUUCCAAGUGUAGCGGUGAAAUGCGUAGAGAUUUGGAGGAACACCAGUGGCGAAGGCGACUUUCUGAUCUGUAACUGACGCUGAGGCGCGAAAGCGUGGGGAGCAAAC
rnacentral:rRNA from 1 species